rnacentral:rRNA from 1 species
AACGAACGCUGGCGGCAGGGCCUAACACAUGCAAGUCGAACGAAGCCUUCGGACUUAGUGGCGGACGGGUGAGUAACGCGUGGGAACGUGCCCUUUGCUUCGGAAUAGCCCCGGGAAACUGGGAGUAAUACCGGAUAAGCCCUACGGGGGAAAGAUUUAUCGGCGAAGGAUCGGCCCGCGUUGGAUUAGGUAGUUGGUGGGGUAAUGGCCUACCAAGCCGACGAUCCAUAGCUGGUUUGAGAGGAUGAUCAGCCACACUGGGACUGAGACACGGCCCAGACUCCUACGGGAGGCAGCAGUGGGGAAUCUUAGACAAUGGGGGAAACCCUGAUCUAGCCAUGCCGCGUGAUCGAUGAAGGCCUUAGGGUUGUAAAGAUCUUUCAGUGGGGAAGAUAAUGACUGUACCCACAGAAGAAGCCCGGCUAACUCCGUGCCAGCAGCCGCGGUAAAGUACAGUGU